rnacentral:rRNA from 1 species
AUAGAUACCCAGGUAGUCCACGCCGUAAACGAUGAGUGCUAAGUGUUAGAGGGUUUCCGCCCUUUAGUGCUGCAGCUAACGCAUUAAGCACUCCGCCUGGGGAGUACGGCCGCAAGGCUGAAACUCAAAGGAAUUGACGGGGGCCCGCACAAGCGGUGGAGCAUGUGGUUUAAUUCGAAGCAACGCGAAGAACCUUACCAGGUCUUGACAUCCUCUGCCAACCCUAGAGAUAGGGCGUUCCCUUUCGGGGGACAGAGUGACAGGUGGUGCAUGGUUGUCGUCAGCUCGUGUCGUGAGAUGUUGGGUUAAGUCCCGCAACGAGCGCAACCCUUGAUCUUAGUCGCCAGCAUUCAGUUGGGCACUCUAAGGUGACUGCCGGUGACAAACCGGAGGAAGGUGGGGAUGACGUCAAAUCAUCAUGCCCCGUUAUGACCUGGGCUACACACGUGCUACAAUGGAUGGUACAAAGAGCUGCGAACCCGCGAGGGUAAGCGAAUCUCAUAAAGCCAUUCUCAGUUCGGAUUGUAGG